GAUAUCCCAUUAAUAAUCGAAAUAUAUUAAUGGGAUAUCAUAUGAUAUCUUAAGAUAUUUUACGAUAUUUUAAAAUAUUUUUGUAGGAUAUCCCGGGAGCUACUAAUUGAGAUGUCCGUGGGAUCGCCCUCGUCUGUCUAGGAUAAUUUGGGAUAUCCUCAGAAUAAAGUGUGCUGUGUGGGAUGUUUAAAACCAUCUUAAGUACAGUCUUAAGAUGCCAUCAACCAAUCACAGAGCCGUAUUAGCAUCUUAAGACAUUACUUGAUCUUAAAAUAAGAUUCGACUAUGAAUCUUAUUCAAACCGACUGUGCGCGCUACAACGACUGCCGACGACAACCGCGCGCGCUAGAAACCGGGACUGCUCAGAACUGAGCGCAAAGUACGGGUUGCGCGAAACCGAAGAUUCGCUGGAGGGAAAGGCGAACGCGCACACAAGAAUGAAAAAAAAAGAGCAAAGUUGUGCAACAAGGAUUACGUUUAUUCGGCUUACAAACACAAACAAGAUCACAAUUGAUUUAAGUUUGAAACAGCGCGGAAGAGCGGAUAAUUAACCGGACGGUCGGAAUCUUCUUAAAGUACGGUAGCGAUCUGCCAACCAUCAAAGAUAUUCGUCAUUCGGAAAAGAAUAUCAAGAAAGAGCAAGCAGCUGAUCAACUCGGCACCUCACGCGAUCACGGCGUGUACGUGAAACUCACGGGUCCACGCUCCGGGUAAGGAGCCAAAAUCCAUAAAAAACUAGGGGAGAAUGUUGGCAAUGAUGGAAAAUCUCUAGAAUCCAUAAAUUUAUUUCUGAAGUUGACAACACUGUGGUGCUUUCGGGAGUAGCAUGGGAUGCGUGUAGUGCAGAACCGUGAUUGUGACAGAUGGUGUAUGAAAGACCAAAAUAACCUCGCGGAGAUGACAGGUCAGCAAGACGCAGGUUAGUGCUAAAUAUUAAACUUUAAUGAGAUUAUUAAUUUAGGAUCUUUACAAUACGAGUUACUGUAAACUGUCUUUGCUGUUUAAUUCUGACUGCAUUUACUAUGUAAAGAUUAUCUUUCUUAUAAAAUUAUGUGAUAUUUACUACAUGUUUACUUUAAUAAUUAAAUAAAUAAAGAAAUAAAACCAAAGUUGUAUUUAUUAAUUAAUUUAACACUAAAGUCAUUUGUGUCGUAAAGAUUCUAAAUUAAUAAUCUCAGAUCAGUCUUUCUAUAAUAGUAUUGAUUAUAUUACAAUGUGAAAUAAUAUUAUUAUUACCAAAAUACCAAAAAUAAUAUAGAAUUAUUAUUAUUUCUUAAGAGAUAUAAACGUAUAAAUCCUUUUUUGUAAUGAUUUAAUGAUUGUAUAGAUCCAUCAAAAA